rnacentral:rRNA from 1 species
AUGAACGCUGGCGGCGUGCCUCAUACAUGCCAGUCGAGCGCACAGAUGAGGAGCUUGCUCCUCUGACGUUAGCGGCGGACGGGUGAGUAACACGUGGAUAACCUACCUAUAAGACUGGGAUAACUUCGGGAAACCGGAGCUAAUACCGGAUAAUAUAUUGAACCGCAUGGUUCAAUAGUGAAAGACGGUUUUGCUGUCACUUAUAGAUGGAUCCGCGCCGCAUUAGCUAGUUGGUAAGGUAACGGCUUACCAAGGCAACGAUGCGUAGCCGACCUGGGAGGGUGAUCGGCCACACUGGAACUGAGACACGGUCCAGACUCCUACGGGAGGCAGCAGUAGGGAAUCUUCCGCAAUGGGCGAAAGCCUGACGGAGCAACGCCGCGUGAGUGAUGAAGGUCUUCGGAUCGUAAAACUCUGUUAUUAGGGAAGAACAAAUGUGUAAGUAACUAUGCACGUCUUGACGGUACCUAAUCAGAAAGCCACGGCUAACUACGUG